GAGUUUGAUCGUGGCUCAGGACGAACGCUGGCGGCGUGCUUAACACAUGCAAGUCGAACGGAGCACCCCUGAAGGAGUUUUCGGACAACGGAAGGGAAUGCUUAGUGGCGGACUGGUGAGUAACGCGUGAGGAACCUGCCUUUCAGAGGGGGACAACAGUUGGAAACGACUGCUAAUACCGCAUGAUGUAUCGGAAUCGCAUGGUACUGAUACCAAAGAUUUAUCGCUGAAAGAUGGCCUCGCGUCUGAUUAGCUAGUUGGUGAGGUAACGGCCCACCAAGGCGACGAUCAGUAGCCGGACUGAGAGGUUGACCGGCCACAUUGGGACUGAGAUACGGCCCAGACUCCUACGGGAGGCAGCAGUGGGGAAUAUUGGGCAAUGGACGCAAGUCUGACCCAGCAACGCCGCGUGAAGGAGAAGGCUUCGGUUGUAACUUCUUUAAGGGGAAGAGCAGAAGACGGUACCC
rnacentral:rRNA from 1 species